GAGUUUGAUCAUGGCUCAGAGCGAACGUUAGCGGCGGGCCUAACACAUGCAAGUCGAGCGAGAAAGGGGCUUCGGCCCUGAGUAAAGCGGCGGACGGGUGAGUAACACGUAGGUAAUCUUCCCUUGAGCGGGGGACAACGAGCCGAAAGGCUCGCUAAUACCGCAUACGUUUCCAGAGGCCCCGGUCUUUGGAAGGAAAGCUAGGCCGCAAGGUCCGGCACUCGAGGAGGAGCCUGCGUCGCAUCAGCUAGUUGGUGGGGUAACGGCCCACCAAGGCGAAGACGCGUAGCUGGUCUGAGAGGAUGAUCAGCCACACUGGGACUGAGACACGGCCCAGACUCCUACGGGAGGCAGCAGUGGGGAAUAUUGGAUAAUGGGCGCAAGCCUGAUCCAGCCACGCCGCGUGAGUGAUGAAGGCCUUCGGUCGUAAGACUCUGUGGGGAGGGACGGAACCGCGUGCUGGUUCAUAGCCAGCAGCAUGACGGUACC
rnacentral:rRNA from 1 species